rnacentral:misc_RNA from 1 species
GCGGGAGAGUAGGUUAUUGCCAGGGUUUUUAUUUUUAUACUUUAAACUUUGAUUUUAUUUUUAUGUUUUUUAAAUAUUGGUGUUUUUGAAUGUGUUGUUUAAAUAACAUAAAAAAUAAAAUAUAUAUUGACAUGUAUUAAACAAAGAUAUAUAUUAUUUUAUGUUGUAUAAAUAAAUUGGCAAAAUAGAGAUGGAAGAUAAAAAUAUGGUCAAAGUAAUAAGAGUCUAUGGUGAAUGCCUAGA